AUGCAACAUGUGGACCUCCUCUAUGCCAAACUCCAGAAGAAGGACAUAGAUUCAAUCCACAUCAGGGGGAUCAUCCAGCAGUUCCAGCAGGAUAUACAGAAGAUCAGAUAGCAGCUAAAUUAUCUCCAUUCCCUGGUUGACCAAAGCAGUGAAGGUGGUUCUCAACCGAAGAGGUGGCGGUCACUCAGUCCAGAGGUCCAUGAACGGAUUGCAGCAGAAAUUAGUUUUUAUUGCAGUCAAAAUAAACCAUCACCAACAAGUUAAA